rnacentral:rRNA from 1 species
UACGUAGGGGGCAAGCGUUGUCCGGAAUCAUUGGGCGUAAAGAGCGUGUAGGCGGCUCGGUAAGUCCGCUGUGAAAGUCCAGGGCUCAACCCUGGAAUGCCAGUGGAAACUGUCGAGCUAGAGUCCGGAAGAGGCGAGUGGAAUUCCUGGUGUAGCGGUGAAAUGCGCAGAUAUCAGGAGGAACACCAAGGGCGAAGGCAGCUCGCUGGGACGGUACUGACGCUGAGACGCGAAAGCGUGGGGAGCAAACAGG